rnacentral:rRNA from 1 species
GACGAACCGUGCGAACGUUAUUCGGAAUCACUGGGCUUAAAGCGCGUGUAGGCGGGACGGCACGUCGGUCGCUGAAAUCCCCCGGCUCAACCGGGGAACGGGCACCGAUACGACCGUCCUGGAGGGACGUAGGGGGACCUGGAACUUCCGGUGGAGCGGUGAAAUGCGUUGAGAUCGGAAGGAACGCCCGGUGGCGAAAGCGAGGUCCUGGACGUUUUUCUGGACGCUGAGACGCGAAAGCCAGGGGAGCGAAUGGG